rnacentral:rRNA from 1 species
UGGGGAAUAUUGGACAAUGGGCGCAAGCCUGAUCCAGCCAUGCCGCGUGAGUGAUGAAGGCCCUAGGGUUGUAAAGCUCUUUCACCGGUGAAGAUAAUGACGGUAACCGGAGAAGAAGCCCCGGCUAACUUCGUGCCAGCAGCCGCGGUAAUACGAAGGGGGCUAGCGUUGUUCGGAUUUACUGGGCGUAAAGCGCACGUAGGCGGACUUUUAAGUCAGGGGUGAAAUCCCGGGGCUCAACCCCGGAACUGCCUUUGAUAAUGGAAGUCUUGAGUAUGGUAGAGGUGAGUGGAAUUCCGAGUGUAGAGGUGAAAUUCGUAGAUAUUCGGAGGAAAACCAGUGGCGAAGGCGGCUAACUGGACCAUUACUGACGCUGAGGUGCGAAAGCGUGGGGAGCAAACAGG